AGAGUUUGAUCAUGGCUCAGAACGAACGCUGGCGGUGCGCUUAACACAUGCAAGUCGAGCGAGAACCAGACCUUCGGGUCUGGGGACAGCGGCGAACGGGUGAGUAACACGUGGGUAAUCAACCCUCGGUACUGGGAUAGCCCGGGGAAACCCGGAUUAAUACCGGAUGGCCCUUUGGAUCUUCGGAUCUGACGGAAAAGGUAGCUUCGGCCUCCGACCGAGGACGAGCCCGCGGCGGAUUAGCUUGUUGGUGGGGUAACGGCCUACCAAGGCGGCGAUCCGUAGCUGGUCUGAGAGGACGAUCAGCCACACUGGGACUGAGACACGGCCCAGACUCCUACGGGAGGCAGCAGUGGGGAAUCUUGCGCUAAUGCGGGAAACCGUGACGCAGCGACACCGCGUGAGGGAAGAAGGCCUUCGGGUUGUAAACCUCUUUCAGGAGGGACGAAGCUACUCGGGUUAAUAGCCCAGAGGGUGACGGUACCUCCAGAAGAAGCCCCGGCUAACUACGUGCCAGCCGCCGCGGUAAUAC
rnacentral:rRNA from 1 species